GAGUGUUUGAAGGAGUGGCUCUUCCGUUACUCAGGAAACAAAAGAGCAAUUUUAGACUUACAGGAACUCAGAGUCUGAAGCGACUACUGCGGGAGCUGUGUAAGGAAAAUACACCUUUUCACCUAGAAGUUGAGUACAUCUUGAUUUAGAACAGAACAAGAAACAUUGAAGAUGCCUGUUCGUCAUUCUCUAUGAAGACACAUAUCGAACUGGUAUAAGAUGUAACCUCAUUUUCUUCACCCACUCUGGAACACACUACAGGGCUGCAAUAGAAGAAGCUUACCCUCAAUCCAAGGCUAUUCGAAUGGAAAUAAACAAGAAAUUCAAACUUGAGCUCUUUGAUGGAGGCACUGUGUCUAUAUUUGACAGUGGAAUCAUUGUGAUUCAAGGUACAGAAGAAAACCUUGAUGCAUUUGAGAACAGGUUUGACACAAUUAAACAAAACGUAAACAGCAGAAGACAAGAACAGGUGCAGAAAACAUUACAGCAAAUGAAAGUUGAAGAAUCUGAUUCUGAAACAGAAG
ensembl:lncRNA